rnacentral:tRNA from 1 species
GGGGGUGUAGCUCAGCUGGUUAGAGUGCCGGCCUGUCACGCCGGAGGUCGCGGGUUCGAGUCCCGUCACUCCCGCCA